rnacentral:misc_RNA from 1 species
UAUGUAUCAGAGGGUGGCCUA